GCUUUCUCAUUGCUCUCCUAGAAUGAAAGCUCUUUCUCAGUAACCAUGAUGACAUUUUCUUUUUCUCCUUCAAUCGUGUUUUCUUUUUUCUCAAUUACAUAGAAGAAUUGUUUUUAGCAUUUGUUUUCUAACAUCUUGAGUUCCAAAUUCUUGCCCUCCCUCCCUGAGAUAGCAUGCAAUUUGAUAUUGGUUAUGCAGUGCCUUUUUUUUAACAGGUGAUUACACUGAGGCAGAGAUUGACAGUUGCCUAAUGGUAAGUGUAAUGAAGUCAAGGGCUAUUUUCUACAUGUAAAACAAUUAUUCCAUUCAGUCAUCAUCAUAGCCAAUUCGAGCUUAUUAAGUAUCUACUAGGUACCGGCCACUGUGCUAAGGAUACGAAUGAAAAAGGAAGAUCGUUCCUGUCCUCCAAGAGCUUCUGGUCUAAUGGGGGAAGACUACACACCAAAGAAAGCUGAAAAAGUGGAAGGGGCACCAGAAGGUACCUGGGACAUGGGGAGGGGAAAAUCCAUCACAUUCAUUCUUUGGCAUCAUGUAGGAUCUUAGAUGUUGUGUCACAAUGGGCAUGAGAGCCCUCAUCCAACCCUACUCAUGCCAAACACUCUUGGCUCUGUGCUCAGUACAGGCUCUAAAGAGGUGAGGGUUAAUCUUGCCAGCAUCAUGCAGCGGUAAGUAGAAGAGUCAAGGUGUCAAUCUAGGUACUCUGACUUUCAAGCCAAUCCCCUUCUCACUCCACCAGCAUAUUUUAUUUUCUCGAUUCCAUCUAGUUUUAUGGCAUCAUUUGCACACAGCCAACAACUGCCCUCAGGUUGGAAAAGAGAGCUUCCGAUUUCCUCUACAGGUGGGUUGCCUGACUUUUUCAUUUUCAAACAGGUUGUUGGAGAGUCCUCUCUCCCUCCCAGGGCCUCUUUCGAGGAUGUCAGCCAAUGGCCUUUGGUGAGAAAUCCAGCCAACGACUGCGUAUCCAGGUCCUGGUUGAAGCUGUCCCUACUCUGGGAGUUCUUGGACGUUGGAGUUGUAAAAAGACUGCUGCCUUCAGAGCCAGUAGAGAUGAUUUCUUUGGAGCCAGCAUGGUAA
rnacentral:lncRNA from 1 species